UCGCUACGAGACGACGCUGGCGGCACGCCUAACACAUGCAAGUCGAACGGUGGAUAAUUAGCUUGCUAAAUAUCCAUAGUGGCGGACGGGUGAGUAACACGUGAGCAACCUGCCUCUGAGAGAGGGAUAGCUUCUAGGAAACGGAUGGUAAUACCUCAUGACAUAGCAUUUUCGCAUGGAGAUGCUAUCAAAAGAAUUUCGCUCAGAGAUGGGCUCGCGUCUGAUUAGCUAGAUGGUGAGGUAACGGCUCACCAUGGCGACGAUCAGUAGCCGGACUGAGAGGUCAAACGGCCACAUUGGGACUGAGACACGGCCCAGACUCCUACGGGAGGCAGCAGUGAGGGAUAUUGCACAAUGGGGGAAACCCUGAUGCAGCGAUGCCGCGUGGAGGAAGAAGGUUUUCGGAUUGUAAACUCCUGUUUCGAGGGACGAUAAUGACGGUACCUCGGGAGGAAGCUCCGGCUAACUACGUGCC
rnacentral:rRNA from 1 species